CCCCACCUGUGACUUCCACUUCCAAGGACUGGGGCAGGCCUCUGUACACAGUGUGGUCUCCUCUCAAUAAAGACUGCUGACUGAGGGCCAGGUGGCUGACAGGCUGGCCCCAGCUGCAUUGUUUUCAUCUGUACACCAAAGAUAACGCUGUCCAUUUCGUUGAUUUCUUGGGAGCAUCCAUCACAUGGAAAGUACCUAGACCAUCAGUUGCCUGUGAUCAGCUUCAGUCUGAAAAUUGCAAAUGGAAAAUUGUGGAAAUAAACAACUUGCUGACCUACUCAGGAAUGGUACUACUAGAGUGGGCUGAGCCCUCCUACAUCAAUCAAAAAUUAAGAAAAUGCCCCACAAAUGUGGAGUGCAAGAAGCCCUGAGUGAAUUGUAUUGUUGACAAGAACCAGUGCCUCUAGACCUAUGAGAAUGUCAAAGCCUUCUCCACAUAAUUCAGGCUCAGAAUUUGGAAAGCAUUCCUCUGGUCCCGGUGCAAAUGCUGACAAUGUAUGUGAUGUGGCCAUCUUUCGUGUUCACAUCUGUAUACCCAGAGGUCUGAGGCUCUGAAGAUGGUCCCAGGGAAGUGCACUUGGUGUUUUAUCUAGGCUUUGCUCAUGAUUUCCUUUGUGGACAUGGAAAGGGGUGACGAGAUUACCAUGACUCCGAUUAAACGUCAGUUUCUGAACCCAGCCGUGAGGCCAGCAGCUGCCACAUGGUUAUUCUGGAGAGAAGAAAUAUGUGGAAGGCAAGCAGGGACACUUUUAAAUGAGGUCUCACUAUGUAGCCUUCACCAACCUAUAACUGACUGUGUAGACCUUGCUCUCCUGGAGAUUAGUCUGCCUCUGUCCUGCGUCCUCUCCUGCCCUCACCCCAUCCCUGCUUCUGCUCUGGGAUUAAAGGCAUGCUUCACCAUACCUUUAUGAUGAAGCUUAAGGUUUUCUCUUUGGAAUACUAUAAGCAAUAUAUAUUACCAUGAAGGAGCAACUAAUAGACUUGAUUCUUUAUUUUAUCCUUAAAGACAGGCCAACUUGAUUUUUUAUGGAGCCAA
ensembl:lncRNA